rnacentral:rRNA from 1 species
GAUGAACGCUGGCGGCGUGCCUAAUACAUGCAAGUCGAGCGAACAGACGAGGAGCUUGCUCCUCUGACGUUAGCGGCGGACGGGUGAGUAACACGUGGAUAACCUACCUAUAAGACUGGGAUAACUUCGGGAAACCGGAGCUAAUACCGGAUAAUAUAUUGAACCGCAUGGUUCAAUAGUGAAAGACGGAUUUGCUGUCACUUAUAGAUGGAUCCGCGCCGCAUUAGCUAGUUGGUAAGGUAACGGCUUACCAAGGAAACGAUGCGUAGCCGACCUGAGAGGAUGAUAGGCCACACUGGAACUAAGACGCGGUCCAGACUCCUACGGGAGGCAGCAGAAGGGAAUCUUCCGCAAUGGGCGAAAGCCUGACGGAGCAACGCCGCGUGAGUGAUGACGGUCUUCGGAUCGUAAAAAUCUGUUAUUAGGGAAGAACAAAUGUGUAAGUAACUAUGCACGUCUUGACGGUACCUAAUCAGAAAGCCACGGCUAACUACGUG